GACGAACGCUGGCGGCGUGCUUAACACAUGCAAGUCGAACGGAAAGGCCCUGCUUUUGUGGGGGGCUCGAGUGGCGAACGGGUGAGUAACACGUGAGUAACCUGCCCUUGACUUUGGGAUAACUUCAGGAAACUGGGGCUAAUACCGGAUAGGAGCUCCUGCUGCAUGGUGGGGGUUGGAAAGUUUCGGCGGUUGGGGAUGGACUCGCGGCUUAUCAGCUUGUUGGUGGGGUAGUGGCUUACCAAGGCUUUGACGGGUAGCCGGCCUGAGAGGGUGACCGGCCACAUUGGGACUGAGAUACGGCCCAGACUCCUACGGGAGGCAGCAGUGGGGAAUAUUGCACAAUGGGCGGAAGCCUGAUGCAGCAACGCCGCGUGCGGGAUGAAGGCCUUCGGGUUGUAAACCGCUUUCGCCUGUGACGAAGCGUGAGUGACGGUAAUGGGUAAAGAAGCACCGGCUAACUACGUG
rnacentral:rRNA from 1 species